UCCGUAGGCGGUUUUGUAAGUCAGUGGUGAAAGCCCAUCGCUCAACGGUGGAACGGCCAUUGAUACUGCAAAACUUGAAUUAUUGGGAAGUAACUAGAAUAUGUAGUGUAGCGGUGAAAUGCUUAGAUAUUACAUGGAAUACCAAUUGCGAAGGCAGGUUACUAUCAAUACAUUGACGCUGAUGGACGAAAGCGUGGGGAGCGAACA
rnacentral:rRNA from 1 species